rnacentral:rRNA from 1 species
GACGAACGCUGGCUGCGUGCUUAACACAUGCAAGUCGAACGCUGAAACCCUGGUGCUUGCACCGGGGUGGAUGAGUGGCGAACGGGUGAGUAACACGUGAGUAACCUGCCCCCGACUUCGGGAUAAGCCCGGGAAACUGGGUCUAAUACCGGAUAUGAGCGCCCCUCGCAUGAGGGAUGCUGGAAAGUCUUUUCGGUUGGGGAUGGGCUCGCGGCCUAUCAGUUUGUUGGUGAGGUAAUGGCUCACCAAGACGACGACGGGUAGCCGGCCUGAGGGGGCGACCGGCCACACUGGGACUGGGACACGGCCCAGACUCCAACGGGAGGCAGCAGUGGGGAAUAUUCCACAAUGGGGGAAACCCUGAUGCAGCGACGCAGCGUGCGGGAUGACGGCCUUCGGGUUGUAAACCGCUUUCAGCAGGGAAGAAGCCCCUUGGGGUGACGGUACCUGCAGAAGAAGUACCGGCUAACUACGUGCCAGCCGCCGCCGUAA